rnacentral:rRNA from 1 species
GUAGGUGGCAAGCGUUGUCCGGAAUUAUUGGGCGUAAAGCGCGCGCAGGCGGUCCUUUAAGUCUGAUGUGAAGGCCCACGGCUCAACCGUGGAGGUCAUUGGAAACUGGGGGACUUGAGUACAGGAGAGGAAAGCGGAAUUCCAAGUGUAGCGGUGAAAUGCGUAGAGAUUUGGAGGAACACCAGUGGCGAAGGCGGCUUUCUGGUCUGUAACUGACGCUGAGGCGCGAAAGCGUGGGGAGCAAACAGGGAUUAGAUACCCUGGUAGUCCACGCCGUAAACGAUGAGUGCUAGGUGUUAGGGGUUUCCCGCCCCUUAGUGCUGCAGCUAACGCAUUAAGCACUCCGCCGUGGGGUAGUACGGCCGCAAGGCUG